ACCCUGGGCACGCAGACGGACACCAACCAAGUCCGGGAUCUGCAUAGGGUCAUACCAGACCUUCUGGAUGCCAUGCUGGGGAACCUGCUGGCAAAGACCCCAGACACGGACAAGCUCCACUACAUCUUGGAGCACCUUAACUACUGGACCGUGUCCAGGGUGCCACGAGAGAGAGCCAGGGCCAUCAGGAGCAGUGCGGCCCUGCUCACGUCCGUCAUCUCCCUCCCUGAC